UAAGACGAAGGAUGCAAGCGUUAUCCGGAUUCAUUGGGUUUAAAGGGAGCGUAGGCGGACUUGUAAGUCAGUGGUGAAAUCUUUGGGCUUAACCCAGAAACUGCCAUUGAUACUGCAGGUCUAGAGUACAGUUGCCGUUGGCGGAAUAUGACAUGUAGUGGUGAAAUACUUAGAUAUGUCAUAGAACACCGAUUGCGAAGGCAGCUAACGAAGCUGUAACUGACGCUGAGGCUCGAAAGUGCGGGGAUCAAACAGGAUUAGAUACCCUGGUAGUCCGCACUGUAAACGAUGAUUACUCGUUGCUGGAAGGUAACUUUCAGUGACCAAGCGAAAGCGAUAAGUAAUCCACCUGGGGAGUACGCCGGCAACGGUGAAACUCAAAUGAAUUGACGG
rnacentral:rRNA from 1 species